GGAAUAUUGGACAAUGGGCGCAAGCCUGAUCCAGCCAUGCCGCGUGUGUGAAGAAGGCCUUCGGGUUGUAAAGCACUUUCAGCGGGGAGGAAGGGUGUUGUGUUAAUAGCACAGCAUUUUGACGUUACCCGCAGAAGAAGCACCGUCUAACUCCGUGCCAGCAGCCGCGGUAAUACGGAGUGUGCAAGCGUUAAUCGGAAUUACUGGGGGUAAAGCGCACGUAGGCGGUAUGUUAAGUUGGAUGUGAAAGCCCCGGGCUCAACCUGGGAAUUGCAUUCAAAACUGGCAUGCUAGAGUAUGUGAGAGGGGGGUAGAAUUCCAAGUGUAGCGGUGAAAUGCGUAGAUAUCUGGAGGAAUACCGGUGGCGAAGGCGGCAUCCUGGACCGACAUUGACGCUGAGGAGCGAAAGCUAGGGGAGCAAA
rnacentral:rRNA from 1 species